UGCCGCGUGCGGGAUGAAGGCCUUCGGUUGUAAACCGCUUUCAGCAGGGACGAAAAUGACGGUACCUGCAGAAGA
rnacentral:rRNA from 1 species